rnacentral:rRNA from 1 species
CCUACGGGUGGCAGCCGUGAGGAAUAUUGGUCAAUGGGCGGGAGCCUGAACCAGCCAAGUCGCGUGAGGGAAGACGGUCCUAUGGAUUGUAAACCUCUUUAGGCGGGGAGCAAUGCCGGGCACGCGUCCCCGGCGGGAGAGUACCCGCAGAAAAAGCAUCGGCUAACUCCGUGCCAGCAGCCGCGGUAAUACGGAGGAUGCGAGCGUUAUCCGGUUUUAUUGGGUUUAAAGGGUGCGUAGGCGGAUUUUUAAGUCAGCGGUAAAAUGUCGGGGCUCAACCCGGGCCGGCCGUUGAAACUGGGGAGCUUGAGUGGGCGAGAAGUAGGCGGAAUGCGUGGUGUAGCGGGGAAAUGCAUAGAUAUCACGCAGAACUCCGAUUGCGAAGGCAGCAUACCGGCGCCCGACUGACGCUGAGGCACGAAAGCGUGGGGAUCGAACAGGAUUAGAUACCCGUGUAGUC